CCUACGGGGGGCAGCAGUGGGGAAUAUUGGACAAUGGGGGGAACCCUGAUCCAGCGACGCCGCGUGAGUGAAGAAGUAUUUCGGUAUGUAAAGCUCUAUCAGCAGGGAAGAAAGAAAUGACGGUACCUGACUAAGAAGCUCCGGCUAACUACGUGCCAGCAGCCGCGGUAAUACGGAGGGGGCAAGCGUUAUCCGGAUUUACUGGGUGCAAAGGGAGCGUAGACGGCGAUGCAAGUCUGAGGUGAAAGGCGGGGGCCCAACCCCCGGACUGCUUUGGAAACUGUAUGGCUGGAGUGCAGGAGAGGUGAGUGGAAUUCCUAGUGUAGCGGUGAAAUGCGUAGAUAUUAGGAGGAACACCAGUGGCGAAGGCGGCUUACUGGACUGUAACUGACGUUGAGGCUCGAAAGCGUGGGGAGCAAACAGGAUUAGAUACCCCAGUAGUC
rnacentral:rRNA from 1 species